rnacentral:rRNA from 1 species
UUACACAUGCAAGUCGAACGGUAACAGGGAGCUUGCUCCGCUGACGAGUGGCGAACGGGUGAGUAAUGCAUCGGAACGUACCCAGUCGUGGGGGAUAACGUAGCGAAAGUUACGCUAAUACCGCAUACGUCCUGAGGGAGAAAGCGGGGGACCGUAAAGCCUCGCGCGAUUGGAGCGGCCGAUGUCGGAUUAGCUAGUUGGUAGGGUAAAGGCCUACCAAGGCGACGAUCCGUAGCGGGUCUGAGAGGAUGAUCCGCCACACUGGGACUGAGACACGGCCCAGACUCCUACGGGAGGCAGCAGUGGGGAAUUUUGGACAAUGGGCGAAAGCCUGAUCCAGCCAUGCCGCGUGAGUGAAGAAGGCCUUCGGGUUGUAAAGCUCUUUCAGCCGGAAAGAAAUCGCGCAGGAUAAUACUCUGCGUGGAUG